rnacentral:rRNA from 1 species
AUGUCUUCCUCCUCCGACGUCUCUCACCCUAACCCCAGUGGGCAGGUCAUUGAGAAACUCUCCCGCACGAACUACGUGCUAUGGUGCACAUAGAUCACACCGUAGUUGUGUGGCGCCUGUGUCUUCAGCUAUGUCGAUGGCACUUCCCCGGAGCCAGCCAAGCUCCUCGCCGCCAAGGACAAGGACGGCAAGGUGACCUUCGAGCCCAACCCUCUCCACCCUAUCUGGGUCCAGGAGGAUCAACAGGUGCUCGGCUACCUGCUGAGCAACCUCUCUAAGGAGGUGCUCGCCAUGGUGCCAUGGGUCACCACAGCGCAUGCGGUCUUGACGACGCUAGCGGGCAUGUACUUGUCGCAGUCGCUAAGCCGCGUCAACAACAUCCGUACCUCGCUCAUCAUUGCGCGGAAGGGCAACCAGUCUGCCCGCGCCUACUUCGCCUCCAUGCGCGGCCUCGCGGACGAGCUGGCCGCGACCGGCAAACCGAUCCAGGAUGACGAACUCAUCUCGUACAUCCUUCACGGGCUGGAUCUGGAGUACCAUCCCCUCAUCUCGGGCCUCGACACCCGUGUCACCCCCGCCUCCCUCGACGAGAUCUUCUCCAUGCUAAGCAACUUUGACCAGCGCAUGGCGUAG